rnacentral:miRNA from 1 species
UGUCGGAUCCUGUGAAAGAGCGC